AUGGCUGGUGAAGAGUCCCACUGGAUUGGAACUCUUCGACCAAGAGUCCUAAUGCUCAGGGACUCUGAGUCCUAUGUGUCUGGGACUCUGUGAUCGAGAAUCAGGAUUCUCUGAUCAUGAGUUCUACACAUUUUGGAUACCGGGGUCAAGAGUCCUACUGGUUUGGACUUAGUAUUUAUGAGAGAUUUAAUUAGUGAUUUGAUUGCUAAUUAACUCAAUUUGAUUGAGUAAUUAUUUUUGGAUCAAGUCAAAUUGAAUUGGAUUCAGUUGGUUUUGACCCGAUUAGGUUAAGAGUUGACCUAAUCGUCAAGGUG
rnacentral:lncRNA from 1 species